UUCUUUCUCUUAUGGCUAAUUUCUGGUGCAAUUCACUUCAAGUACACUUCCUUAUAUUGCUAUUAUUCUUAUUUUACAUUGGAAAGGGUUGAGUUCUGAAGCAAGUCAAUCAAUCUGAUUGCAAAUAAUUAUCACUAUGAGCAUCUUUCCAAGUUUCUUAUUAUAAGCCCUUUUUUGUAUUUCUACAGUGCAAGGCUGACAAGAUUGAAUUCCAAGUUCUUUAGUACUUGAAUGCAAUAUUUACUACAACAUUCAAUUUUUUUUUCUUUGUUGAGACAUCAAGGUUGAGAGAUGCUGAUUUUUCAGUCACCAUAUUCUAGUGGCAAAUUUCAUUUUCACCCCAUUUGGAAUGAUUCUUAUGAUAGAAUUCAAUUCAA
rnacentral:misc_RNA from 1 species